rnacentral:ncRNA from 2 species
AAAAACCUUCGGGGCAGGGUGAAAUUCCCGACCGGCGGUGAGCCAAAAGGCGAGCCCGCGAGCCCUCCAGGGGCUGAUCCGGUGAAAUUCCGGAGCCGACGGUAUAGUCCGGAUGGGAGAAGGUUGAU